rnacentral:rRNA from 1 species
UACAUAGGGGGCAAGCGUUGUCCGGAAUGACUGGGCGUAAAGGGUGUGUAGGCGGUUUGGCAAGUUGGAAGUGUAAUACCUAGAGCUUAACUCAGGUGCUGCUUCCAAAACUGCUAGACUUGAGUAUCGGAGAGGAAAAUGGAAUUCCUAGUGUAGCGGUGGAAUGCGUAGAUAUUAGGAGGAACACCAGAGGCGAAAGCGAUUUUCUGGACGAUAACUGACGCUGAGGCACGAAAGCGUGGGGAGCAAA